rnacentral:rRNA from 1 species
UGCCCCAGUAACGGCGAGUGAAGCGGCAAAAGCUCAAAUUUGAAAUCUGGCCUCCUACGGGGGUCCGAGUUGUAAUUUGUAGAGGAUGCUUCGGGUGUGGCCGCCGUCUAAGUUCCUUGGAACAGGACGUCAGAGAGGGUGAGAAUCCCGUCUUGGGCGGCCGGUCCGCGCCCGUGUGAAGCUCCUUCGAAGAGUCGAGUUGUUUGGGAAUGCAGCUCUAAGCGGGUGGUAAAUUUCAUCUAAAGCUAAAUACUGGUCGGAGACCGAUAGCGCACAAGUAGAGUGAUCGAAAGGUUAAAAGCACCUUGAAAAGGGAGUUAAACAGCACGUGAAAUUGUUGAAAGGGAAGCGCUUGCGGCCAGACUCGGGGGCGGGGUUCAGCGGGUGCUCGUCGCCCGUGCACUCCCCGUCUCCCGGGCCAGCAUCAGUUUCGACGGCCGGUCAAAGGCCUCCGGAAUGUGUCGUCUCUCGGGACGUCUUAUAGCCGGGGGUGCAAUGCGGCCCGUCGGGACUGAGGAACGCGCUUCGGCUCGGAUGC